GACGAACGCUGGCGGCGUGCUUAACACAUGCAAGUCGAACGGAAAGGCCCUGCUUGCAGGGUACUCGAGUGGCGAACGGGUGAGUAACACGUGGGUGAUCUGCCCUGCACUUCGGGAUAAGCCUGGGAAACUGGGUCUAAUACCGGAUAGGAGCCAUUUUUAGUGUGAUGGUUGGAAAGUUUUUUCGGUGUAGGAUGAGCUCGCGGCCUAUCAGCUUGUUGGUGGGGAAUGGCCUACCAAGGCGGCGACGGGUAGCCGGCCUGAGAGGGUGGACGGCCACAUUGGGACUGAGAUACGGCCCAGACUCCUACGGGAGGCAGCAGUGGGGAAUAUUGCACAAUGGGCGCAAGCCUGAUGCAGCGACGCCGCGUGGGGGAUGACGGCCUUCGGGUUGUAAACUCCUUUCGCUAGGGACGAAGCUUUUUGUGACGGUACCUAGAGAAGAAGCACCGGCUAACUACGUG
rnacentral:rRNA from 1 species